AUGUUCCUUUAUCUUAAUUUUGCAAAACAGCUUUUGUGGAAGGUGCCAGGCUCCCCUGGUGACCCCGCUGUGUGUGGGCCGAGAGUGCAGAAGCUGCCUUCCCGGGAAACUGGGAUGGGGCCUCUGCUGAAUCCCGGCAUGUUGCCUCAGUUUAUCUCCGGUGAAUGGGAUAUGAGCACUGCCUACCACAAACAACUCUGGGGGUUCUUGGUGAGAGACGGGCCUCCCCCCGUGGCGCCUGGCCUGCGGGGCCACCUGGAGAAACCGUGUUUGCAGCAGGAAGGUCACAGCUGCUGGGUCCAGGUGCGCAGCACGAGGACUCCCCACAGAAACAGUCUUCACGUCCCGUCCACUGCCAGCCGGGGGGGAGGAGCAAGAAGAGAGAGAAACACAGACCAAACCCAGGACUGCCUCGGCUCUGAGCACCCCCUUGAUCCGGCCCCCAUCUGGGGCUUGUCCCACUCCCUAGGCUGUCCGUGGUCCCACACCCGCGGCGGCGCUCGGGUUGCAGAAGUGUCGGGCGCACAGCUGUGGUGGGAGGUACUGUCGGGGCCUGGAUUAGGCACCUGCGUUUGCUCGUGGACGCCCUUGCCCCCCCCCAUGCCUCCGAUCGUGACUUCAUCUGGACUCAGGAUCUUUGCAGGCAAGGAGUUACGAGGAGGCACAGUGGCUUUGGGUGGCCCUAACCGAGGCCUGGCGAGCGACGUGCCGGGCAGGGGGGGAGCAGGCUCUCUGCUGUGUCUUCAAUAGGGACAUUAAUCCUACCCUAUCAGCUCACCUGAGGCCUCCCAUAACCCUAAUGACUUCUUUGUUCCAAAAACAGCCACACCAGGGAUUUGGGCUUCAACAGAGAAAUUUUAGGGGGACACGUGUAUUCGGCCCAUCACAGAAGUCAAAGAAGGUUUUCAGGCUCGGCCUGAUGUCAUCUGAUUCUCGUGAAGAAACACAGUCAUCUGUUUGUGGGAACCUUCGGGAAGCUGGAGGCCAGGGAGGAAGAUGGAGCUGCAGAUUGUGGUAGACGCGUAGGCGUCCGGCCUGAGAGGGAAGUUAGUCGGUGAGAGGGUGCUCGUGCCCUUGGAGGUAGAGCUCGGAAGACAGAGGAGAGAGCACAGUGGCUCCUGGGCUUGCCACUGUGCUUUGGUCCAAGGAUGGUGCUCUCACAGGCUGCGGCGAGCCUGUUCCUACAGCCUUGGUCAGACAGGCUGCCCAGAGUGUUUGCAGGACACAAGCAUAUCUAUAGGAAGAUUGUAGGACAAGAACAGGAAUAUUUAAAAUAGAGAGGUGUUGCUAAGUUGCUGUACUGGGCUCACCAGAGUCCCCUCAAAAUUCAUAUCCACCCGAGGUCCCUGAACGUGACCUUAUUUGGAAAUGGGCUUUUUGCGGAUAACCAAGGUACAAUGAGGUCACGCUGGAUUAGGGUGGGUCCUAAGUCCAAUGACUGAUGCUCUUCUAAGGGGACGGAGACACACAGAGACACAGAGACGCACAGGGAGAACACCACUGCCAGACCCAGAAGCGGGGGCCGGGGGUGGUGCAGAGGGAGCCGCGGUUGCCACAUCUUGAGCUCGGACAUCCGGCUCCAGAGCAUGAGACCCUGUGGCGCUCGUCACAGCAGCCCUAGGAGGCUGGCACGGCUGUCCUCCCCAAGGCCAGUGCACUGCCCCGCCAGGCUUCCCCGCCAGCAGCACUUGGAAACCUUUACUGAGAUGACCGGCACUCAGCGGUCCUUAGCAGGGUUGAGCGGAUUUUCUGGAAUGUCUCGGACAAAGAUUUCAUUACCACCUUCUGGAAAUCGCCUGUUCAGAUGUUUUGUCCAUGUUUCUUGCUACAUAUUUAUCCUUUCUCCAAGGUGCUAGUGUCUUUUCCUCUCUAGGAUUUUAGCCUUCACGGUGUAUAUUUUGUGUUGAGCUUCAAUCAAUCUGAAAACUGAUUUGGAGGCGUGCUGUGACGCAGCUGCUUUAUUUCCCGUUACCGCAUGGCCUGUCGUCAUCUCGCCUGGCCACCAGCACGAAAGUCAAAGGGCGUUCACGUAUUUCCUUUUCUUGGAGGCCACUUCUCUGUCUUCAUCGGCUACCUGGAAAACUAGGUGAUGGGCUAGAAGCAGGAGAGGUCGUGACCUCCUUCCCAGGCUCCCUGUUGCAAGUCCGUUGCUGCAUGAGACAGAAGCCGGCCGUGCCCUUGGCCUGGCGGUCAGGGAGGGGUCAUGCUCCAUCUUCCCUGGGGUGCUCGUAAACGCAUUCAGACUGAGGCCAACCUGGUCCCAGGGAUCGGGAAACGCCGAGCUGACCUCAUUGACCGAUAGGGUCAACCCCAGACGGAAAGGGCUUCACUGCCUCUCGGCCUUGGGCUUGGCUGUGGGUCCACCGUCGGGGGACUUGGGAGGCGCACAGGGGUCAUAGGACCUCUUGGAGCCUCAUUGCCCCACGGGUCAACUGGGGCCAAAACUCGUAACAGCAGUGACAGCUCUGGGCGUUGUGUUCCGUGCUCGGGCGAGCGGGACACGUUAGCCCGGACCUGGAGGACACGUUAGCCCAGACCUGGGGUGUGCGUCGCCCGCCUUCCUUGCUUUGUGCUUUCCAUUUUCCUCACUUUUUCUUUGAUUAGAAAUUAACCAGCGUGUGGUUUAUUCAUCGGUUCAGCUGUUCUCAUGUCUCAGAGCAUUUUCUCUGUUGUCGCUACGGAGUCUUUGCUCCCCUCUGUGUGACGGUUCACAGCACGCUUUCCCCAACUUUCUGAACAAGAUGGUGAACUCAUUUCCUGUCUUUCUUUUUUACUGACACAAACAGUCCCGUCUGUGAGUGUGCUUUGUUUGGGUCGCACAGACGCUGCCUAGUAUCUCAGGGACGAUGAUUUCCCCGAAAUUCUGUAAUUUUGCUUUAAAUGUCCCUCUGACUUAAAAAUUGAUCAGUAGGGAAUUGUAAAAUUUCUCGGGCUGUAUUUGGUUUUGUGAUUGUGGCACCCUCUAGUUUUGCUACACUAGGGUCAGAAAAUGUUUUCUAUGUUAUUUCUCCUUUUUGAAACGAACGUGGGUGUUUCCUGAUUUAUAACUUGGCCGGUUCCCGUGAAUGGUGUUCGAGCAACGGAAACAGGAGGUACUCGGGUAAAGGUGAUGCGCUCCUUUGCGCCUCUGCACUUCUGGGAAAUGCAUGUGACUGUCGAGAGCAAAUUUUCUAGCGUUUUCUGGGUGUAGUGUUUAUGUGGACUUAGUCAACGUGACCACGAUGACAUGAGCAGUGCGGGGUAUGGGACGGUGUGACAGGAAGGCUUCUCCAGUGCUCUUGAAAGAGCCAAGGGUCCCCUCUCAAUGGACUGCAAGAUGUUAGGUAAGUUUGUCAUAACCCCGGAAAACUGGUGACAGAAUAACUCAAAAAGAUACAGCCAGAAAGCCAAGAGAUUGUCUAAAAUGGGAUGCUAAGAAUAUGUUCAAGGGGAAACGGGGUAACACAACCAGACAGCGCAGACUGAACCUCCUGUAAAUCACAGGCGUCUGCUGAUUUUCCUGUAUUCUCUGUCAUUUCUGCUUUUUGAAAAUUUCUUUUAUAAUAUUUAGCAUAUUAAUAUUUAUGAGCAUGACGCCUUGAUCAUAAAUCAUGAUGCUCAAGGAUUCAAAGGGCCUUUGUUUUAUCUUACUUAAUGUUUUUUGGUGGAAAAAAUAGCAGUCUUCUAUUAAAACUGGGGACUGACUCUCUUUUUUGGUAUGUCUUUGUUUAUAUUUGAUUUUUUAACCUUUUUAAAUAACGGCCUUGGGUGACUGUCUUGAAGGUAGCCGCAGAACUGGAGUAGCAGCCAGGCUCCAAGAGGGCAUCCAGAGAUUCUCAUCUCUUGGUCUUCUGCCCCUCGGGUGGGCUCCCGGCUCAUUAACCGGAGCUGGUCUGCGUGACCAACAGAAGACGCGGGGAUGGUGGUGUGUGACUCCCAACUCUAGGCUAUAAAAGCUCCUGCUGUGGGCUCGGCGUUGCUCGUUCUGAAAAGUGAGAUGCCCUGUCGGCGAGGAGACUCAAGUCGAGCUGUGGAUAGGCUCACGUGGGAAGAGCCCAUCUGGCCAGCCAUGGAAGGAGUCGUCUUGGUCGUGGAGUCUCCUGGCCCAGCUGAACCUUCGGAUGAGCCCACGCCCCCAGCCGGCACCCUGAGCAGACUGGCAUCCACCAGUCCCCCCCCCCAACACCUGAGCCACCAGAACCGUGAGACACAAUACGUAGUGACUGUUGUUUUCAGCCGCUAAAUUUGGGGGUGACUGGUUACACAGCAGUAGAUGUUUAAUGCAAUAAUCCAAUUUGAGAACCUUGUUUAUUUUAUUUUAGUAGUUAAUUUCUUUUACGUUCACUGUAUGACAAAUGUGUUUAUGCUAAUUACUUUGUGCUGUGACAUCUGGACGUAUCUGUCCAUACAUGUAGAUACAGAGUACGUGACUAUGUCUGUGUCUACCUCUCUCUCUCUCUCUCUCGAUUCCUGAUACAUGUAUGUAUAUAUUACGUGUGUGCGCGUGUUUGUGUGGAUGGAUAUGGAGCAGUUUUCCCAGGCACACAUGUAUUCAAACAGUCUUCUUCUGUGGGGUCUGUUCCUGCACACGUCUUGAAUGUUAACUAUUUUGAGAUUUAAGGUUGUGCUUGUGCUCCAGUCGUGUCCUUUAUAACCGAGCCUCCUUACAGGGCCGUGCGUCCCUCUGUCCUCAGACAGGGUCCGUGGCUUCCCUCGUGAGAGCGACGACGACGCGGCUUCUCUCCCCUCCCCCUCCCGCUGCUCUUUCUUUCCUUCCUGCUCCUCUGGCUUUAAUCAAAAGCUACUCUUCUCAGUACCGACUACAUCUGAGUUGUUACGGCUGCUUCUGUGCCCAAAUGUCAUCGCUCGUCUCCUCGCGGUUCUGAUGAAAAAUCAGAGUCAUUUUAGUCACAUUAGUGGACGUGCCUCCCCUUGACAGUGGCUCCUCGGGCGCCUCAUUGUUGAGGCAGAAGGCGUUCGCGUGCUGUCCUCUCGCUCACAGCCCCUCCAGCUCCCGGCUCGUUCGCUCCAACACGCUUGUUGCUGACCCUUUGUCCCGGAUUUCCUAGUCAUCUCGGGUUGAUGACAGCUCAUCCCCUAGCGCAUUCCCUAAGAAAGAGUCACAUGGAAGAUGCUCCCUGCAGCCCCUCACUUUCAAGGGAUCCGUUUCCUUUAUCCAUGAACGGGGCGCUCUGGGUGGAGAACCCUCCGUCCCGCGACUCUGCUGGUGAAGCGAUGAGGUCUGGUUCCUUCCUCUGUCUGGUCCGGAUGCCUAAGGGCUCCUCCCCCACAUCUGACCUCCGCGGGGCUCGCAGUCCUGGGGGCACUCCCUCAGCUGUCCCGCAGGGGUCCCCUGGGGCCGGGCAUUUCGAGAAGAAUGUGGGAUUUGGAAUAAACCACCCGGUUUCCAAACCCAGCUCUUUGAAACCCUGAAAGUCAUGUGGCCUCUCUGAGCCCCAUCGAUGACGUGGGUCCAGUGACAUCCCUGCCCCCACCCCCCGCCCCGCACAGAUUAGAGGCUCUGUCGGAGGAGGUACCACGAGCGAAAACGAGCUACAAAGGGCCAGGCCGGAGCCAGAAGGUUCUGCUGCGUGGGCUCGGCCCCGGCC
rnacentral:lncRNA from 1 species